rnacentral:rRNA from 1 species
UUUGUCCUACGGGGGGCAGCAGUGAGGAAUAUUGGUCAAUGGCCGAGAGGCUGAACCAGCCACGUCGCGUGAGGGAAGACGGCCCUACGGGUUGUAAACCUCUUUUGUCGGGGAGCAAAGCGAGUCACGUGUGACUCAUUGAGGGUACCCGAAGAAAAAGCAUCGGCUAACUCCGUGCCAGCAGCCGCGGUAAUACGGAGGAUGCGAGCGUUAUCCGGAUUUAUUGGGUUUAAAGGGUGCGCAGGCGGAGGUGCAAGUCAGAGGUCAAAUUGCGGGGCUGAACCUCGUCGAGCCGUUGAGACUGG